UACGUAGGGGGCAAGCGUUGUCCGGAUUUAUUGGGCGUAAAGAGCUCGUAGGUGGUUCGGUAAGUCGGAUGUGAAAUCUCCAGGCUCAACCUGGAGGGGUCAUUCGAUACUGCCGUGACUAGAGUUCGGUAGGGGAGUGUGGAAUUCCUGGUAGAGCGGUGAAAUGCGCAGAUAUCAGGAGGAACACCCGUAGCGAAGGCGGCACUCUGGGCCGAUACUGACACUGAGGAGCGAAAGCGUGGGGAGCGAACAGG
rnacentral:rRNA from 1 species